rnacentral:piRNA from 1 species
UCGUUCAUCUCUAACGUCAAGAGAAUGGU